GACGAACGCUGGCGGCGUGCUUAACACAUGCAAGUCGAGCGGAAAGGCCCUUCGGGGUACUCGAGCGGCGAACGGGUGAGUAACACGUGAGUAACCUGCCCCAGACUUUGGGAUAACCCUCGGAAACGGGGGCUAAUACCGGAUACGACACAGCUUCGCAUGGGGUCUGUGUGGAAAGUUUUUCGGUUUGGGAUGGGCUCGCGGCCUAUCAGCUUGUUGGUGGGGUGAUGGCCUACCAAGGCGACGACGGGUAGCCGGCCUGAGAGGGCGACCGGCCACACUGGGACUGAGACACGGCCCAGACUCCUACGGGAGGCAGCAGUGGGGAAUAUUGCACAAUGGGCGGAAGCCUGAUGCAGCGACGCCGCGUGAGGGAUGACGGCCUUCGGGUUGUAAACCUCUUUCAGCAGGGACGAAGCGUAAGUGACGGUACCUGCAGUAGAAGCGCCGGCCAACUACGUG
rnacentral:rRNA from 1 species